rnacentral:lncRNA from 1 species
AGUGAACACGUGUCAACACACUUAACAUUACUACUUACUUGCUUUUCUGAGGGUGAAUUGCUUUCAUAGAGUGUGAGUGAAAGAAAACUUUUCUAAAUUUAGUGAGGUGCUAACAAUAUAUAGUUCUGCGUGACCGAUAUCUGUAGGUCCCCUCACUCCCCAAUAUUUGCUUUGAAAGGGUUGGCCGGGGAUGGUCCAUUCGGGCAUCUGCAAGUCGCAGGCACCGAAGUUGAUGUCGGCGGAAACACUGCGAUUACUACUUACUAGAGUUCCAGAUCAACUUGCAGCAGUCCGCCUAUCACCAUCAAGCGAGGUGUCCGACAAGGUUGUGUGAUGUCAUCUGACCUCUUCAAAUUUAUAUUCUAAAGUUAUUCUGCGGGAGACUGAAUAACGCGAAGAGGGAAUCGUAAAUCGAAAACUGAGUUUUCCAAUGGUUGUGAAUAAAAGGGUAAACGGAAGUCGAUACUCCCAAUAGGUAAAACAAAAUAGAAUCGACUCACAAAGGUAGAUGGUCCAAUUAAAAUAUUUCCUCAUAUUUCAUAAAUAGGUUAGGUUAUUCAUAAGUAGGUUAUUAUUAUUAUUAUUAUUAUUAUUAUUAUUAUUAUUAUUAUUAUUAUUAAUUUUAUAAAUAAAACAGCUUUUCCAUAGGACUGAAGUAUUGUCGGACAGUGGAACACACAGAAGCAAACAUCAUUCCAUAUAUAUUUGAGAAACUAAUUUUUGUGUUGAUCAUGAGGUAGAGAAUCGAGUGCAUUCCUAGACGGACAGUAGCUAAUCUCUUUCAAAUAGUUUUUGAUGUGUUUUGAAUGUGACGUCACAGCCAACCUACCUGCUACUUGGCGGCUACUUUCCCCAGGUAAUUUUACGCGGAUUACACCCGACCCUGCAAUAUUACGCCCUUACCUGUCUCGGUUCCAGAGCUGUCACAGGCAACCAUUCCAGAUGUUUUAUGUGAUAGUGCCAAACUUAAUUCUAAGUAAGGAAAAUUCUAAGUAAGAGGUACUGUUGAUGGUAAGUCAUUCAAAAAAAAAAAAAAAAAAACGAUUUUGAUAAGGCCAAAUAAGGUGGGUUUUGCCUUCAAACAAGAGACAUGCUUCUCGUUUCUGUUAGGAAAAGGGACGGCAAAACGCUACUUGAAGUGAUCAAAGAGCGUAUAGCCCCGGGGACCAGAGUUAUAUGUAACAGCUGCAGGGCAUGCAGUUCUCUUCUAAAAACACGGCCAUAGCGUAUAUAGGUAAACCAAAGAUAUGGUUUUAUACAGGCCCUAUUACCAGAGCACAAACACGUAAUACAGAGUGGGUUGUGGAUGUGUAUCGCAGUUUGGGCGACGAAAACUUUUUGUUGGUUACUCGAUUCGCGUUAUGCUGCGAUGGUUUCCAAGCCAUAGUAACCCAUUUUUCUUGUUGCAACGAAAGAAAAAACAAAAACAAAACGGGGUUAUAGUGUAUGGGGGUUCAGUUACGAAGCCCCCUAUCUGGGGCGUUAGAAACAAAGACUUACGGUGACAUUUUUUUUUUUAUCUUUUUAUAUAGACUGUAAUUGGCCUGUGGGCUAUUAUAUAUUAUAUCCGCAUAAUUUCUUUAGCCGCACUGUUUCAUUUUUUAAACUAAUUUUGUGAUAUAUAUAUAUGCAUGUAAAUAUACUAUUUCAUCUGUGUAGGAAAAACUAACUUCACAGCGCGAGGGAUAUAUCUGCCACAGUGAACUGUUCUGUCAGCCUGUUCUACUCCACAGUUUCCUUGAUGAACUUCAGUGCAACUGGAUUUCAAUUUUUUUGAAUUCUCUGCUUGCAUCACAUGAUGAAACAGUCAUUAUGACUGACGCUAGCAUGCAACGUGACUCACGGUUGCUUUUAUUAUUAUAUUGACUUUAUUUUCAAUGUGUAACGAAAAUGUUAAAUAAUGAAUAUGUCUCAGAACUCAAAAAUCUGUCGAGAUCCUUAUAUAUAUUGUCUUGCUAAUGGUGUGUGAAAACCACAUUAAAAUACCGAAAAUUCUGAGUAAUUAAAUAUUAAUUUUAUUAUUUUUAUCGUUGCAUAGUUCAUCUAAUAAAAUUCAGCCAAGGUAUUCAACUUUAGAAUCAUAAAAUAAUGUUUUACUUGAGAAUAGAACUACUUUGAAUUAUAUUACUAACUGUCUGGGACAUGCCAAUGCUAAAUAGACACGCAAAUAAAGCCAUUUCGGUAAAUCCUCGGCGCUCUUAGACGCAGCGGACAGGUAAACAAGUUCCGCCUACGUCACACGCUCUCGAGUCAGAGGGCAAAGUUAUCAAUUUUCUUGUCAUUGGUAAGACACUAGGCGGUUGGAGUUACAGAUUUCACAUAUCUCGUUUGUGUUAUUGUGAGAGUGUAACGUGUGCAUGGCGGUAGCACAGUGCGAGAUUAAGGAAAGAGCACAAGUUGAAGUUUUGAAGCAGGUGCACAAUGUGCAAACUUCGCUGGAGAUUCGCGAAAGUCGUUGUCUGAGACCCAUUGCGUAAGUGGAAAGAUGUUGAGUUCAUUCAUUUAUGUAGAUCAACGCUGAAAGUAUUGAAAUAAUGAUUACCCUGUUCAGAAGGAUUAUUACAUUCGCCUGUGACUGUAAUAAUCGCCUGUGACUGUUUUCUUUUCUGUAUCUAAACUUGAUCCCAAAAUCGACACUGUUGUGAUUUUGGGAGAUACAUCAUUGGGUAAGAGUUAUUUGAUUGAUAGCUGUUAAAGCUGUAUUUUUUGGUUUUGUCAUGUUUCCCACCAUGCCAGAAGUGAGGCAAAGUGUUUAGAGUAUAACUAUGAAGAUAGAUAAAAAUAAAGAAACAACAACAGUGGAUAAGGUAUAAAAGAUCAUAUAUACAAACAUUAAACUGUAAAAAGUAGGAGUUAUAACCUAAACCGUGUUAUUAUAAUUUGUGAAUCAAAUUAUGAAAAGGGAUUGCACAGUUUGGUAAUGCUGUAGCCUAAGCAUUUAACACUCCAGCAGUAGCACACAAGCCGUGAAAUAUAUAUAAUGGAAAGUUAAAUGUUAUUACUUUCUAAGUUGAGUUAUUGUCAAACAUGGAACCAAUCCAAGCUCUCUUUUGCCAUAUAUAUAUAAGGAUAAGUAUUUGAUUUCUUUGUUAUUGAGAUCUAUGCACCCACCAAAACCAGGAUGUCAUGUGAACCCCAAAAUCCAAAUCUAACCUUUUCUGCCUUAUAUUUAUUACCACUUACCAACUUACAUAAAAUGUGACAUUGAGAACUCUGCUUGUAUGAGGGUGUUGUGGACUUAGUCUGAUCGGUAAUAUGCAGUGGAUAUUUUCGUCAUUUUGCGGUAAAUAUGAGGCUGCAGCAGCUGUACCUUUGUUGUUUAUGACUCUAUUUCUUAUGCUAUAUAAGAUGGCAGUGUUCAUUUUCCUCUAUCUCUGUGUGUCACUCUUGGUUACAUUAACCAUUUGGUUUUUCCAGAAUGCCAAGUUCAGAAACCAUUGUAUUGUUUCAUGUAGUCCUAUCCUGAACAGUGUCCUAUAUGAGACUAAACUUGUUAAGUUUAAUUUUUUUUAAUAUGUAAAGAGUUGAAUUAAUGUUUUGUGUGUAUAUUGGUGGGUCUUUAGUGUUAGGAAUGGGGAAUAAAAUUAUGGAGUUUAGUGUAGCGCAGGCAUACAUGUGUGAUGAGUAGAACAGUUCUGCACUUUAUUAUUAACAGUUUCUCAUUAUAAUUUGUUCCCAAUUAAAAAUCCAAACUAAUCCAGAAAAAUGUAAAGCACCAAAUGAUCCUGAUUGAAAGUAAUAAAUUGGAAUUAACUGUUAACAAUUAUGAUAUUGGUUGCAUUUGUGGCCCAUUAUGUUAUGGUAUGUAGUUAACCUCUUAUAGUCAGCCAUGCCUAUAGCCAUCAUGAAAAAACAAUUCAUCAUGUUGGGUAUGGCUAUAGGCAUCACGACUCGCUUUGAGCAGACAGUUCUGAUAUAUGCAGCAAACUCCUUGGCCAAAAGUCUAGACGGCUGCCAAAAGUUACCAGAAUGAGUGGUUCAAAUUUCUGGAACUGUUAUUGUAGGGUUUAGAAAAAACAGAAUUUAGUACAAAGAAGCCUGCACUACCUGUUUUCAUGAAAGUAUCAUAGACUUAUAGACUAGUGUUUGUAGAUGUUGGCAAAGUUUGGCAAGACUGUGGGGACCUUACUGGUCAUGGUAUGUAUAUUCAAGGUCCAUAAACUUGUUAUCUCAACUGCAGACAAUAUUAUGAAUUUCCUAAGAAGGCCACAGUAAAUUAUUAUCAAGCUUUAUACCCCAUAAGUUUAUUGGUUUG